AAUUGAUGCUGGGUGCUGCUAAUUGCCACACCUGUGCCACGUUAAUAUUAUAAAAGGAGAAGUGUGAGUGCUGAGGAGGAGAGAUUGAAUAACACAGAACAGAGCUCAGAGGAAGAAGACGGCAGGAGGCGUUGAAAGCUGGUGCAGCAGUGAGUGAGGGAGCAAGAACAGACUUGCUGGUUAAGAAAGAAGAAUAUGCCAGAAGACCUAAGCCUAUUGAUGCCUAGGAGCCUGCAGAGAUUGUAUUUGUCUUCAGCAAGUUCUCAGGAGUUUCCUGUUCUCAGCAAGAGGUUCAGUUUCUUUGUGGUGGCGGCCUGCACCACCACCACCUACU